GCCAGUGCGCUGCUCACGGCCACGCUCCGCCCCGUUCCUUUCUUCCCGGAAGUGCAUGUUUAUAAUAACUCUUAAAUGAGUAGGUAAUGAAAAGAGUGGCUAAAAUUGGCAGGUGAGUUUACCUUGCUGGUCCCCAUUUGGGUUACUGUAUGCCUUCCUGUUCAUGUUAUAAGCUUGUUACUUAUUAUAACCCGGUGUUCCCGAUGUUCCUGGUGACUCGGCUAAAAUUAUUCAUGUUUAAUGUAACUCAAAUCAAAUGAAAACAGUUAUUGUAGGCAGGUAAGUUUCCCUAGCUGGUCCCCUCCAGGUAAAAUGCUUUCUUAUUCAAGUUUUCAACUCAGUCAUUCAUUUAAGAUGCAAUCUUGUGUUAUAAGUAUUAGGCUAUCAUGAUUAAACAGUGAACAAGCUAUAUAAAUAAGUAUUUAAUAUGACAUUUUACUUAUGCAGGUGGUACUGAAAGAUUCAAUUCCUGUGGAGCUUAUGCAACACAGCUGCACAUGUGUUGGUGGAGCAGCAUUAUGCAACCACUGCGUUGCUUUGCUGUUCCAGUCAGCACAUUACUCUGAACUGAAUGUGCCAGUUGUGCCUCCUGUGCUAAGCUGUACUGAAGGGGAACAGCAGUGGCACAAGCCAAGAACUUUGGGUAUAAAGCCAGGCCCUGUCGAAAAAAUGGCUGUGCUGUCUGCUAAACCAAAGUGUAGAGCAACAACAGAGGGUGUAAGGAGCACACUCUACCAAGGCCUGAGUGGAGAUUUGCCUGACCUAUCCAUCCUUCAGAUGACAGCGGCUCACUUCAAGAGCAGGUGAAGCAAGUUGGGACAAUGUUGAAGACGUUUGCUCGCACUGGGCAAUCAGGUACAGAUCAGACCCUAAUGCUGUGACGUCUUGGAGAGUUUGGCGAUGUUGUGCGUAGCAUGGACAACAAAAUGGACACUAUUAACAUUUCAGUGCCAAUGUGUCUGUUGGACAGUUAUCCCUUUCAGGGGAUCUGUUACACCCAGGAAGAUUUGGCGUUGCUUGACAACAGUUUGAGGCAGGAUAAAGAGCUCCAGCAACAAUUUCUUCGGUUUUUGGCAAUCAAAUGUGGGAGGGACCUAAAGACAACCGUGUGGCGAAUGCUUCAGGGUAUCUUCUCUAAUCACCUUUCCAUCGAUACAACCUGGACUGGUGUAGGGGAUAAAGCAUGUUUUAGAGACAUGUUCCUGAAGACCAUUGUUCAAAAUCUUUAUUUUCUACAGGAGCCAUCAGGAAGAACCCGGCAACUCAGGAUGCCACUGAUGAGGCGAUCCAGGUUAACGUUACGCGUUACCUGAAAGGAGCAUCUGAACGUGAAGGUGGAAAAAGGCGCCGCACAGCUGAGAGGGACCCACAGUCGACCCCUUAAACCUAGGCUGACUACUGACACCCCAGCAUCACUGACAACUGGAACCCUUUCUUUAUCCUGCAGUCAGUAACAUCAAGACCCCUAAAAAAGCCUGCUAAAAGUGUCAGACUACACUCACCCAGUCCACACUGUUCACUGUGGAAAUUGCUGUUUUUUUUUUUUUCAUGACCCUGCCUUGAGCGCAGCUCCUUGGAUGAAUAUGGGAUGGUUUGUCCCUUUAUACAGGAAUCACUGAAGAUAUGCCAAUUUGCACUGCCUCAUUCUGGAGGUUGGGGAAAACCGGUGAUUCUUAACCCACUACGCCACGCAGACCCCAACCACUCCAGACAUUCUGAUUGGCUGUGUUCUCUACAGCCAGAUUUUCUGCUGUUAAUUGUAUUUGUUCCCACUUGUUGUCAUGUGUAAGUUGAAUGUCAAAAUGUAUAUUAUACCUGUUAUCCUGCACAUUCUUUGAUACCAAAGAUCUCAAUUAUUUAACAUACAAUUUUCUGCUUAUUUCAUUGUUACAGUGCUUAACUAUUCUAUUUUAAAAUAUAGCUUGUAAAUCCUAGAUUAUACAUCUAAAACUUGAUAUCGGCACAUUAUCUGGUAUCAAAUAUUCUACUUACCGUGACUUUAGUAUUGGCUUAUUUCAUUCCAUCAGUGCUUAACGAUUCUGUUAUAGUUUGUAAAUCCUAUUUCAUGCCUGAUAUUUGAUAUUGCACAUUAACUAGUACCAAAAAUUCUACUUUCA